GACGAACGCUGGCGGCGUGCCUAAUACAUGCAAGUAGAACGAGUUGCGAACGGGUGAGUAACGCGUGGUAACCUGCCUCAUAGCGGGGGAUAACUAUUGGAAACGAUAGCUAAUACCGCAUACUGUGAGAUGGACCUGCGUUGUAUUAGCUAGUAGGUGGGGUAACGGCUCACCUAGGAGACGAUCCCUAGCUGGUCUGAGAGGAUGAGCAGCCACACUGGAACUGAGACACGGUCCAGACUCCGACGGGAGGCAGCAGUGGGGAAUAGUGCACGAUGGGCGCAAGCCUGAUGCAGCCAUGCCGCGUGUAUGAAGAAGGCCUUCGGGUUGUAAAGUACGUUCAGCGAGGAGGCGUUACUCGCAGAAGAAGCACCGGCUAACUCCGUGCCAGCAGCCGCGGUAAUAC
rnacentral:rRNA from 1 species